rnacentral:misc_RNA from 1 species
GACGUCUAGUUGGUCAUUUUCAGGUUCUUCUUCAGAGAUUGCUAUUAACUUGAAUGUUCGUAACCCCUAAAAGUAAAUGAAUGCUUCAACUUUUGUGUGUUUUCCCUCUCUUUAAUGUGUUUAUGUUGGGAAGGAUAUGGGGAUGGAAAGGAAAAGGCGGGUGCUGGUAAGGAUAAUGAAUGUUAUAUCCUUAAUUCUGAAGGAUUUGAACUCUUAAUUAUCUAACCUUUUCUAGAAUCUUUAUUUUUUUUCACUUUUCUUUUUUAUUUCUUUAAAACCUUAUAUUGCUUAUGUGCGUAUUGGCUUGCAGUUUUUCGGUGUCCUUAUCAUGAUCACAAUUCUCAAAUGUAUAUAGCUUGUGUUAUAUUGUAUCUUUGUUGUCUUUAUUUAUUUUUAAUCAAUUGCCCAUGCAAAGUGACUUAUCUACAUGCCUGAUUGCCUUCAUAUGUAUGCCUUAUGCAGGGAAGUUUUACAGGGUCAAGGAU